AGAGCACAUGGUGGAUGCCUUGGCAUCAAGAGCCGAUGAAGGACGUGGCGAGACUGCGAAAAGCCCGGGCUAGCUGUCUAGCGAGCUCAUCCCGGGAUCUCCGAAUGGGGCAACCCGGUCCGUUUCAUAGCGGAUCACAGUUGGUUGAACACAUAGACCAACAUGAGGGAACCGGGGGAACUGAAACAUCUAAGUACCCCGAGGAAAAGAGAUUAUUCCCCUAGUAGCGGCGAGCGAACGGGGAGAAGCCCAAACCAUCCGCUUCGGCGGGUGGGGUUGUAGGACCGGCGCGUAGGAGUGAUCAAUCGAUUGGAUAGCCAAAGGGCCCUGGAACGGCCCGCCAGAGAGGGUGAGAGCCCCGUAGGCGAAAUUCUGUCGACUCCUGCCGGUAUCCUGAGUACUACGGGACACGUGAAAUCCCGUGGGAAUCUGGGAAGACCACUUUCCAAGGCUAAAUACUCUUGAUGACCGAUAGUGGACUAGUACCGUGAGGGAAAGGUGAAAAGCACCCCGGAAGGGGAGUGAAAUAGAACCUGAAACCGUGUGCUUACAAGCAGUCGGAGCCUGCCUUCGGGCGGGUGACGGCGUGCCUAUUGAAGAAUGAGCCGACGAGUUACGUUCAGUGGCGAGGUUAAGCGACGGGAGUCGCGGAGCCGUAGCGAAAGCGAGUCUGAAUAGGGCGAUUCAGUCGCUGGACGUAGACCCGAAACCUGGUGAGCUAUCCAUGGGCAGAGUGAAGCGUAGGUAACACUACGUGGAGGCUCGAACCUACUCGUGAUGCAAAACGACAGGAUGACCUGUGGAUAGAGGUGAAAUGCUAAUCGAACCAGGAGAUAGCUGGUUCUCCUCGAAAUGCGUCUAGGCGCAGCCUCGAGUGUUUUGGUCCGGAGGUAGGGCUCUGAUUAGGCUAGGGGGCACAUCGCUUACCAAACCUAUUCAAACCGCGAAUGCCGGACCAUGAGAGCUCGGGAGUGAGACAGCGGGGGCUAAGCUUCGUUGUCGAAAGGGAAACAGCCCAGACCUUCGGCUAAGGGCCCUAAAUCCAUACGAGGUGUGAAAGGCUGUUUGGUCGCAGAGACAGCCAGGAUGUUGGCUUAGAAGCAGCCAUCAUUGAAAGAGUGCGUAACAGCUCACUGGUCGAGUGAUCGGGCGCCGACGAUGUAACGGGGCUAAGUAUGGUACCGAAGCCAAGGGAUUGUUCUUCUUCGGAAGGAUGAUCGGUAGAGGAGCGUUCUGCGUGCAGUGAAGCUGGCGGGGUGACCCCUGGUGGAGCGUGCAGAAGUGAGAAUGUCGGCAUGAGUAGCGUAAUCGUGGUGAGAAACCACGACACCGUAAGCCCAAGGGUUCCUACGGAAGGUUUAUCCGCGUAGGGUUAGGCGGGCCUAAGCCGAGGCCGAGAGGCGUAGGCGAUGGACAGCAGGUUAGUAUUCCUGCCCCACCGACGGUAUGUUUGAUGCAAAGGGGUGACCCGGAAGGAUAGGCGCAGCGAACCUAUUGGACAUGGUUCGUUCCUGAAUCGUAGGCGUCUGGGGGCAGGCAAAUCCACCCCCAGGUUAAGCGGAGGAUUCGGGAGGAGUGGAGACGACAGUCAAAGCGACUUUGCUGAGUCCAUGCCGGCGAGAAAAGCCUCGUUGCUAGUACCGUGGGUGCCCGUACCGCAAACCGACACUGGUGGGCGGCGGUAAGUACCGCAAGGUGAUCGAGAGAACUUUCGUUAAGGAACUCUGCAAUUUAGCUCCGUAACUUCGGGAGAAGGAGCGCCCCUGACGGUGAAGGGCUUUGCGUCCUGAGCUAUCGGGGGCCGCAGUGAGCGGGCCCAGGCGACUGUUUAACAAAAACACAGGUCUCUGCGAACGCGUAAGCGGAUGUAUAGGGGCUGACACCUGCCCAGUGCCGGAAGGUUAAGGGGCGCGGUUAACGCCGCAAACCGAAGCCCCGGUGAACGGCGGCGAUAACUAUAAUCGUCCUAAGGUAGCGAAAUUCCUUGUCGGGUAAGUUCCGACCCGCACGAAUGGUGUAACGAUCUGGGCGCUGUCUCAACGAGGGACUCGGCGAAAUUGAACUGGCCGUGAAGAUGCGGCCUACCCGCAGCAGGACGAAAAGACCCCGUGGGGCUUUACUGCAGCUUGGCGCUGGAGUUCGGGCCUAGAUGCGUAGCAUAGGUGGGAGGCUGUGAACCGUUGCUCUUGGGCGGCGGGGAGCCACCGGUGAAAUACCACUCUUCUAUGUCUGGGCUCCUAACCUGUGAACAAGCAUGGGAACAGCGU
rnacentral:rRNA from 1 species